GAUUGACAUGGGAAGGACCCCAUCACUCCUCAUGUCUCUUCCUGACCCACGGGGCAUUUGAACUUUCAUCCCUGUGCGAGGACUUCAGCCUCCCAGCCUUGGACAGGUAGCGGCUUUCGCUAGUUGCCAAUAACACUGUUCUGUCUUCCCUUAUUGUUCCAGCUGCCUGCUGUUUACGGCAGGUGAGAAUGGUUUUCUGCUGACAGUAGUGAAAUGAAGUCUCCUCUCUACGUGAAUUUAAUUUGAAAAGUGAGAUGACAAAGACAAAUAUUGAAUACAUAACGCGUGGGGAACGUGGAAGGCAGGAAGUGGAUAAUGAGGUCUGGACACCAAGAACGAGUGCAAUUUCUUCAUUUUACAGAUGAAGACACCGAGGCCCAGAGAAGGCGACCUGAGCUGUCCCUUCCUGUCCUCCGCAGUGUCAGCUGCCUGUUUAGAUGUGACUCUGGACCAGACCUGCGUGUGUGGGGGGGUUUCCCCUUUAAAGUCCUCUUUCCCCUUGACAGAAGGGGAAACUGACGCUCAGGAAGAGGGAACUGCGGUGAGGACCUGCAGAUGUGGAACCACCCGCUCUCCAGUGAACGCUGGCCCGGGGAGGAGGAGCUGGCGCUCAGAGCCCUGGGUCCCCUGUGGUCCCGGGCCCUCCUCCUCUGGGCUCCCCUUCCUCACCAGCCCCUGCACUCUGCCUGCAUCCUGGGAGCUGGGGGUGCUUGGCC
rnacentral:lncRNA from 1 species